rnacentral:rRNA from 1 species
AUGAACGCUAGCGUACAGGCUAACACAUGCAAGUCGAGGGGCAGCACAAGGAGCAAUCUGAGGUGGCGACCGGCGCACGGGUGAGUAACACGUAUGCAACCUGCCUGUAAGCGGGGAAUAACCCGUUGAAAGACGGACUAAUACCGCAUAAUACUAAAUUACUGCAUGGUAAUUAUUUAAACAUUUAUGGCUUACAGAUGGGCAUGCGCAUGAUUAGCUAGUUGGAGAGGUAACGGCUCCCCAAGGCAACGAUCAUUAGGGGUUCUGAGAGGAAGGUCCCCACACUGGUACUGAGACACGGACCAGACUCCUACGGGAGGCAGCAGUGAGGAAUAUUGGUCAAUGGACGAGAGUCUGAACCAGCCAAGUCGCGUGCAGGAAGAAUGUCCUAUUGGAUUGUAAACUGCUUUUGCAGGGGAAUAAAGUGCAUCACGUGUGAUGUUUUGUAUGUACUCUGCGAAUAAGGAUCGGCUAACUCCGUGCCAGCAGCUGC